rnacentral:rRNA from 1 species
AUUGAACGCUGGCGGCAGGCUUAACACAUGCAAGUCGAGCGGGGGAAGGUAGCUUGCUACCGGACCUAGCGGCGGACGGGUGAGUAAUGCUUAGGAAUCUGCCUAUUAGUGGGGGGCAACAUCUCGAAAGGGAUGCUAAUACCGCAUACGUCCUACGGGAGAAAGCAGGGGAUCUUCGGACCUUGCGCUAAUAGAUGAGCCUAAGUCGGAUUAGCUAGUUGGUGGGGUAAAGGCCUACCAAGGCGACGAUCUGUAGCGGGUCUGAGAGGAUGAUCCGCCACACUGGGACUGAGACACGGCCCAGACUCCUACGGGAGGCAGCAGUGGGGAAUAUUGGACAAUGGGGGGAACCCUGAUCCAGCCAUGCCGCGUGUGUGAAGAAGGCCUUAUGGUUGUAAAGCACUUUAAGCGAGGAGGAGGCUACUUUAGUUAAUACCUAGAGAUAGUGGACGUUACUCGCAGAAUAAGCACCGGCUAACUCUGUGCCAGCAGCCGCGGUAAUACAGAGGGUGCGAGCGUUAAUCGGAUUUACUGGGCGUAAAGCGUGCGUAGGCGGCUUAUUAAGUCGGAUGUGAAAUCCCCGAGCUUAACUUGGGAAUUGCAUUCGAUACUGGUGAGCUAGAGUAUGGGAGAGGAUGGUAGAAUUCCAGGUGUAGCGGUGAAAUGCGUAGAGAUCUGGAGGAAUACCGAUGGC